CAUAGUUGCCAACUGACAUGAUAUUCGCGUGUAAUACACGCUUUUUCAACGGUUUACACGCGAGGAUUUUAUCACAUGGCGUGUACACGCUUUUCACCACUUUACACGCAAUUACACGCUUUUUAGUUGUUUUGUUUUUUUGGUUGUUAGUGAUAUCGCGAUUCUCGGGUUUUUUCAUUAUAACACGAUAAAUACCGAAAUUUCGAAGUAAUUGUUUGGUGGCCAUUGUUUAUUUUUCUCUAUAUGGACGAACAGCAAAAGCUCUUAAGUUUCAAAUGUAGCCAACAGAUUUCCACAGGCCAUAGGGGAUGGAAAUAUCACGGAACUGUUGGAUCAGUUCUCAUAGUAUUAGCUGUCUUCUGAUGAACUACCCAGUUUUGACCAGGCAAUAGCAACAUAUAUUGUAUAGUUUGUUGGGAGCAAUGGCAGAGAUCAUAGAUGACAUUUUAGAUGGCAAAAAAACAUUAUGACACUCUUUCAAAGCUUCAUGAAGCUAUUUUAGUUCAGCCAAAUAUCAAUUCUGACUGUGAGAGAUCAUUUUCAAUUAUAAAGAAAUUUACACUGAAUUCUGAUCAGAACUUGACAAUGAUAUGUUGUGUGCCUUGUUAUCAAGUAAAUGUAACCAAAUCAGCAGGUGUUUUGACUAUGUGCCUAGUGGUGUUGCUUUAAAAGCAGCAAAACAGACCACUGUUGAAUACAAUAAAAGUUUACAGUUGAA